GCAGUGGUGGUUUAGUGGUAGAAUUCUCGCCUUCCAUGCAGGAUACCUGGGUUCCAUUCCCGGUCAAUGCA
rfam:Loxodonta africana unplaced genomic scaffold scaffold_101, whole genome shotgun sequence.